rnacentral:rRNA from 1 species
ACGUGAGGAACCUGCCCCGGANUCUGGGAUAACAGCGGGAAACCGCUGCUAAUACCGGAUACUCCUUCCCNUCCGCAUGAAGGGGAUGGGAAAGUUUUUCGGUCCGGGAUGGUCUCGCGGCCUAUCAGCUUGUUGGUGGGGUAACGGCCCACCAAGGCUACGACGGGUAGCUGGUGUGAGAGCAUGACCAGCCACACUGGGACUGAGAUACGGCCCAGACUCCUACGGGAGGCAGCAGUCGGGAAUCUUGCGCAAUGGGCGAAAGCCUGACGCAGCGACGCCGCGUGAGGGAUGAAGGCCCUAGGGUUGUAAACCUCUUUCAGCAGGGACGAAGCGAAAGUGACGGUACCUGCAGAAGAAGCCCCGGCCAAAUAACGUGCCAGCAGCCGCGGUAAUACGUAGGGGGCGAGCGUUGUCCGGAUUUAUUGGGCGUAAAGAGCGCGUAGGUGGUUUCGUAAAGUCGGAUGUGAAAGUCCAGGGNUCAACCCUGGGAUGCCAUUCGAUACUCACGGACUGGAGCACGGUAGGGGGAUCUGGAAUUCCUGGUGUAGCGGUGAAAUGNUCAGAUAUCAGGAGGAACACCGGUGGCGAAGGCGGGAUCNUGGNCCGUUGCUGACACUGAGGCGCGAAAGCUGGGGGAGCGAACAGGAUUAGAUACCCUGGUANUCCCANCCGUAAACGAUGGGUGCUAGGUGUGGGGAGCUAUCGACGCUUUUCCGUGCCGCAGCUAACGCAUUAAGCACCCCGCCUGGGGAGUACGGCCGC